rnacentral:rRNA from 1 species
GAUGAACGCUGGCGGCGUGCUUAACACAUGCAAGUCGUACGGUAAGGCCCUUUCGGGGGUCCACGAGUGGCGAACGGGGGAGGAACACGUGAGUAACCUGCCCACAACUUUGGGAUAACGCUAGGAAACUGGUGCUAAUACUGGAUAUGUGCUCCUGCUGCAUGGUGGGGGUUGGAAAGCUCCGGCGGUUGUGGAUGGACUCGCGGCCUAUCAGCUUGUUGGUGGGGUAGUGGCCUACCAAGGCGGCGACGGGUAGCCGGCCUGGGAGGGUGACCGGCCACAUUGGGACUGAGAUACGGCCCAGACUCCUACGGGAGGCAGCAGGGGGGAAUAUUGCACAAGGGGCGCAAGCCUGAUGCAGCAACGCCGCGGGCGGGAGGACGGCCUUCGGGUUGUAAACCGCUUUCAGCAGGGACGAAGCUUUUUGUGACGGUACCUGCAGAAGAAGCACCGGCUAACUACGUG